AAGGAAGUGGCAGAGUGGUUAUGUGCCUGGCUUGAAACCAGGUUAUGGGGGUUCAAUUCCUCCCUUCCUCG
rnacentral:tRNA from 1 species